rnacentral:rRNA from 1 species
UACGUAGGGUGCAAGCGUUGUCCGGAAUUAUUGGGCGUAAAGAGCGUGUAGGCGGCCCGACAAGUCCGCUGUGAAAGUCCAGGGCUCAACCCUGGAAUGCCGGUGGAUACUGUCGGGCUAGAGUCCGGAAGGGGCGAGUGGAAUUCCUGGUGUAGCGGUGAAAUGCGCAGAUAUCAGGAGGAACACCCGUAGCGAAGGCGGCACUCUGGGCCGAUACUGACACUGAGGAGCGAAAGCGUGGGGAGCGAACAGG